AUUACGUGCCCAGCAGCCGCGGUAAUACGUAGGGAGCGAGCGUUGUCCGGAAUUACUGGGUGUAAAGGGAGCGUAGGCGGGGUUGUAAGUCUGUUGUGAAAUCUAUCGGCUCAACCGGUAGCUGCGGCAGAAACUACAGUUCUUGAGUGAAGUAGAGGCAGGCGGAAUUCCUAGUGUAGCGGUGAAAUGCGUAGAUAUUAGGAGGAACACCAGUGGCGAAGGCGGCCUGCUGGGCUUUUACUGACGCUGAGGCUCGAAAGUGUGGGGAGCAAACAGGAUUAGAUACCCUGGUAGUCCACACUGUAAACGAUGAUUACUAGGUGUGGGGGGUCUGACCCCUUCCGUGCCGGAGUUAACACAAUAAGUAAUCCACCUGGGGAGUACGACCGCAAGGUUGAAACUCAAAGGAAUUGACGGGGGCCCGCACAAGCAGUGGAGUAUGUGGUUUAAUUCGAAGCAACGCGAAGAACCUUACCAGGUCUUGACAUCGUGCGCAUAGCCUAGAGAUAGGCGAAGCCCUUCGGGGCGCAUAGACAGGUGGUGCAUGGUUGUCGUCAGCUCGUGUCGUGAGAUGUUGGGCUAAGUCCCGCAACGAGCGCAACCCUUGUAUUUAGUUGCUACGCAAGAGCACUCUAAAUAGACCGCCGUUGACAAAACGGAGGAAGGUGGGGAUGACGUCAAAUCAUCAUGCCCCUUAUGACCUGGGCUACACACGUACUACAAUGGCGAGUAAACAAAGGGAAGCGACACGGCGACGUGAAGCGAAUCCCAAAAAAUCGUCUCAGUUCGGAUUGCAGGCUGCAACUCGCCUGCAUGAAGUCGGAAUUGCUAGUAAUCGCGGAUCAGCAUGCCGCGGUGAAUACGUUCCCGGGCCUUGUACACACCGCCCGUCACACCAUGGGAGUCGGUAACACCCGAAGUCAGUAGCCUAACCCGCAAGGGGGGGCGCUGCCGAAGGUGGGAUUGAUGACUGGGGUGAAGUCGUAACAAGGUAGCCG
rnacentral:rRNA from 1 species